AGCUAUGCAACGUUGCCAAAUUUUUAAGCAGUUAAAACGUAGUAACUUUCUAGGAAAUUUAUGAAGUCGAGCAAGUCUGAGCAAGUCAUUUAACCUUAUUAACCAUUAUUAACCUCAUAUGUCUGUAAAUUAAUAGUGUGAAUUUGAUCUAAGUUAAUUAAAAGAGAAAUUUUUAAAAGAGAAAUUAAAAAAGAAGGCCGCAAAGAAGAAUUGACUUUUUAGAAAUGUCGCAAAUCACAUCAUAUAGCAAGAAAACAAGAACUGCAAGGGCAUCACAGUUACAAUUAACGAAAAUGAUUGAUUUUUUUUAAUAUAAAUAAGGGUCUUGCAGAAGGAAAAAUCCAUGUACUACAUGGAAAAGAAGAAAGUCAAAAAAAGUGGACAAAAUUAGCAAAUGAAUUAAAUUCUUUUCAAGGAGCAACAAAAACAGUCGAACAAUGGCAAGUGGUUUGGAGGGACUUAAAAAGCCGCACUUCUAUAAAAGCAAAAGAUUUGCGGAAGGCUAAGAUGUGUGUGUGUGUGUGUGUGUGUUGUGUGUGGUUAAUAGGAAAUAAAACUAUCGUGCAACCUGAACUGACAGAAUUGGAAUUACGUGUAAUUGGAAUAACAGCUGAGUACGUCGAGGGGAGUAAAGAUUGUGCAGACAGUAUCCCAGAGGAGGAGAAUUUGCUGAAAGAACUUGAACGUGGAAACAAUACGGUAUUGUCAGCA